rnacentral:rRNA from 1 species
UACGUAGGGCGCAAGCGUUGUCCGGAAUCAUUGGGCGUAAAGCGCGCGUAGGUGGCCAUGUAAGUCCGCUGUGAAAGUCAAAGGCUCAACCUUUGAAAGCCGGUGGAUACUGCAUGGCUAGAGUACGGAAGAGGCGAGUGGAAUUCCCAGUGUAGAGGUGAAAUUCGUAGAUAUUGGGAAGAACACCGGUGGCGAAGGCGGCGAGCUGGUCCAUUACUGACGCUGAGGCGCGACAGCGUGGGGAGCAAACAGG